rnacentral:rRNA from 1 species
UUUAUGGAGAGUUUGAUCCUGGCUCAGGAUGAACGCUGGCGGCGUGCCUAAUACAUGCAAGUCGAGCGAACGGACGAGAAGCUUGCUUCUCUGAUGUUAGCGGCGGACGGGUGAGUAACACGUGGAUAACCUACCUAUAAGACUGGGAUAACUUCGGGAAACCGGAGCUAAUACCGGAUAAUAUUUUGAACCGCAUGGUUCAAAAGUGAAAGACGGUCUUGCUGUCACUUAUAGAUGGAUCCGCGCUGCAUUAGCUGGUUGGUAAGGUAACGGCUUACCAAGGCAACGAUGCAUAGCCGACCUGAGAGGGUGAUCGGCCACACUGGAACUGAGACACGGUCCAGACUCCUACGGGAGGCAGCAGUAGGGAAUCUUCCGCAAUGGGCGAAAGCCUGACGGAGCAACGCCGCGUGAGUGAUGAAGGUCUUCGGAUCGUAAAACUCUGUUAUUAGGGAAGAACAUAUGUGUAAGUAACUGUGCACAUCUUGACGGUACCUAAUCAGAAAGCCACGGCUAACUACGUGCCAGCAGCCGCGGUAAUACGUAGGUGGCAAGCGUUAUCCGGAAUUAUUGGGCGUAAAGCGCGCGUAGGCGGUUUUUUAAGUCUGAUGUGAAAGCCCACGGCUCAACCGUGGAGGGUCAUUGGAAACUGGAAAACUUGAGUGCAGAAGAGGAAAGUGGAAUUCCAUGUGUAGCGGUGAAAUGCGCAGAGAUAUGGAGGAACACCAGUGGCGAAGGCGACUUUCUGGUCUGUAACUGACGCUGAUGUGCGAAAGCGUGGGGAUCAAACAGGAUUAGAUACCCUGGUAGUCCACGCCGUAAACGAUGAGUGCUAAGUGUUAGGGGGUUUCCGCCCCUUAGUGCUGCAGCUAACGCAUUAAGCACUCCGCCUGGGGAGUACGACCGCAAGGUUGAAACUCAAAGGAAUUGACGGGGACCCGCACAAGCGGUGGAGCAUGUGGUUUAAUUCGAAGCAACGCGAAGAACCUUACCAAAUCUUGACAUCCUUUGACAACUCUAGAGAUAGAGCUUUCCCCUUCGGGGGACAAAGUGACAGGUGGUGCAUGGUUGUCGUCAGCUCGUGUCGUGAGAUGUUGGGUUAAGUCCCGCAACGAGCGCAACCCUUAAGCUUAGUUGCCAUCAUUAAGUUGGGCACUCUAAGUUGACUGCCGGUGACAAACCGGAGGAAGGUGGGGAUGACGUCAAAUCAUCAUGCCCCUUAUGAUUUGGGCUACACACGUGCUACAAUGGACAAUACAAAGGGCAGCGAAACCGCGAGGUCAAGCAAAUCCCAUAAAGUUGUUCUCAGUUCGGAUUGUAGUCUGCAACUCGACUACAUGAAGCUGGAAUCGCUAGUAAUCGUAGAUCAGCAUGCUACGGUGAAUACGUUCCCGGGUCUUGUACACACCGCCCGUCACACCACGAGAGUUUGUAACACCCGAAGCCGGUGGAGUAACCUUUUAGGAGCUAGCCGUCGAAGGUGGGACAAAUGAUUGGGGUGAAGUCGUAACAAGGUAGCCGUAUCGGAAGGUGCGGCUGGAUCACCUCCUUUCU